CUGCGCGGAAGAUGUAACGGGGCUAAACCAUGCACCGAAGCUGCGGCAGCGACACUGUGUGUUGUUGGGUAGGGGAGCGUUCUGUAAGCCUGUGAAGGUGUGUCGUGAGGCAUGCUGGAGGUAUCAGAAGUGCGAAUGCUGACAUAAGUAACGAUAAAGCGGGUGAAAAGCCCGCUCGCCGGAAGACCAAGGGUUCCUGUCCAACGUUAAUCGGGGCAGGGUGAGUCGACCCCUAAGGCGAGGCCGAAAGGCGUAGUCGAUGGGAAACGGGUUAAUAUUCCCGUACUUGGUGUUACUGCGAAGGGGGGACGGAGAAGGCUAUGUUGGCCGGGCGACGGUUGUCCCGGUUUAAGCGUGUAGGUGUGUGUUCCAGGUAAAUCCGGUUCACUUUAACACUGAGGCGUGACGACGAGGCACUACGGUGCUGAAGCAACAAAUGCCCUGCUUCCAGGAAAAGCCUCUAAGCAUCAGGUAACAUCAAAUCGUACCCCAAACCGACACAGGUGGUCAGGUAGAGAAUACCAAGGCGCUUGAGAGAACUCGGGUGAAGGAACUAGGCAAAAUGGUGCCGUAACUUCGGGAGAAGGCACGCUGACACGUAGGUGAAGUGAUUUACUCAUGGAGCUGAAGUCAGUCGAAGAUACCAGCUGGCUGCAACUGUUUAUUAAAAACACAGCACUGUGCAAACACGAAAGUGGACGUAUACGGUGUGACGCCUGCCCGGUGCCGGAAGGUUAAUUGAUGGGGUCAGCGCAAGCGAAGCUCCUGAUCGAAGCCCCGGUAAACGGCGGCCGUAACUAUAACGGUCCUAAGGUAGCGAAAUUCCUUGUCGGGUAAGUUCCGACCUGCACGAAUGGCGUAAUGAUGGCCAGGCUGUCUCCACCCGAGACUCAGUGAAAUUGAACUCGCUGUGAAGAUGCAGUGUACCCGCGGCAAGACGGAAAGACCCCGUGAACCUUUACUAUAGCUUGACACUGAACAUUGAGCCUUGAUGUGUAGGAUAGGUGGGAGGCUUUGAAGUGUGGACGCCAGUCUGCAUGGAGCCGACCUUGAAAUACCACCCUUUAAUGUUUGAUGUUCUAACGUGGACCCGUUACCCGGGUUGCGGACAGUGUCUGGUGGGUAGUUUGACUGGGGCGGUCUCCUCCUAAAGAGUAACGGAGGAGCACGAAGGUUGGCUAAUCCUGGUCGGACAUCAGGAGGUUAGUGCA
rnacentral:rRNA from 2 species